rnacentral:lncRNA from 1 species
UAGAACAAUUUUUGCAAUACAAAAUAGUCUUUCCAUUACUCGUUAUUGUCAUUAUGGGGUCGGGUAAUCGGGUAGCAUAUGGAAUUAAUGCUCCUGUUUGUUAAAAUCGUUCUGCAACACAUAGGAGAACGCAAUCUCUGAUCGUGGUAUGUGACUCAUGCGUUUAACUCCUGAUUUUCUAAGUUCUUUGCCAUCUCGUGAAACAUUCAGUACAGUCUCAUAAGAAAGAAAACAAAAUUUAGACGUGCUGGAACCAAAUCCAUGCUUUAGUCUUGGGAAUUUCCGUGCAACAAAUCUAAUAGAAACAUUGAAGGAGAGGGCGGCUGAAGGUUGGUGGUCACGGAACGUGAGGAGCCAACAUCUUUUUUCUCUCGCAUGGAUAGCUAUUUCCUCACUCCCCUUUGUCCGCAACUUCCGUUUGUUCUUCGGAGGUGAGAUGGAGGGUGGCAUUGGUAAUACCACAAGUCUAGGCAAUGAUGGCGAGUUUUGCACGAGCAGCUUAUACAAUCAAAUUUCUUUUUUACUGACACUUUUGAAAGUCUUUUCAUGCUUGCCCGAUAUAAAAAGGACAUUGCAAAUCUCUUACUCUUCAGUUGCAAACCGUGCAGUUGCAAAUACCAACCUCUAAAGCAAUCUUUAUCAAAAUGCCCUUAUUCUCCAAUGUUAUGGUGUGUUUAAUUCUAUAUUCUAAGUAAAAAAUUCAAUGAGAAGUCAGCUUUAACUCUCGGUAACGAGGGUGACUAGGAAGCUUGAUAAAGUCGUGGUAAAUAGGCUACUUUUAUCUACUGAGGCGCUCGUUGCAGCCUAUAAUGAGCUACAAAUAUAUCCAUUCACGUUUA